rnacentral:misc_RNA from 1 species
GAUGAAGAACGCAGCGAAAUGCAAUAAGUAAUGUGAAUUGCAGAAUUCAGUGAAUCAUCGAAUCUUUGAACGCACAUUGCGCCCGCCAGUAUUCUGGCGGGCAUGCCUGUUCGAGCGUCAUUACAACCCUCAGGCCCCCGGGCCUGGCGUUGGGGAUCGGCGGAAGCCCCCUGUGGGCACACGCCGUCCCUCAAAUACAGUGGCGGUCCCGCCGCAGCUUCCAUUGCGUAGUAGCUAACACCUCGCAACUGGAGAGCGGCGCGGCCAUGCCGUAAAACACCCAACUUCUGAAUGUUGACCUCGAAUCAGGUAGGAAUACCCGCUGAACUUAAGCAUAUCAAUAAGCGGAGGA